AGGAUGAACGCUGGCGGCGUGCCUAACACAUGCAAGUCGAACGCUCUCCAUUCGGUAGCAAUACUGAUGAAGAGGGAGUGGCGAACGGGUGAGUACCACGUGAGCAACCUGCCCCGAAGACUGGGACAACACCGGGAAACCGGUGCUAAUACCGGAUAUCCCUAUCGGAUCGCAUGAUCUGAUAAGGAAAUGGAUUCCGCUUCGGGAGGGGCUCGCGGCCUAUCAGCUAGUUGGUGAGGUAAUAGCUCACCAAGGCAUCGACGGGUAGCUGGUCUGAGAGGACGAUCAGCCACACUGGGACUGAGACACGGCCCAGACUCCUACGGGAGGCAGCAGUGGGGAAUCUUGCGCAAUGGGCGAAAGCCUGACGCAGCAACGCCGCGUGGAGGACGAAUGCUUUCUGAGUUGUAAACUCCUUUCAGCAGGGACGAUUGUGACGGUACUGCAGAAGAGCACCGGCCAACUACGUG
rnacentral:rRNA from 1 species